GCCAUCCCGGCCGCCGGAAGCGCGGGGCGCGCGCCGGGUCAGGGGCAGCCGCGGCUCUGCGCAGGCGCGGGCGAGCCGGGCGCGGUCGCACGUUGUGCGGCCCGAGGCCCCCCUCUAGUGGAAGUUGGGCGCCGUAGCAGGGCCUCGUCCAUCCAGCCUGGGCCGCGCUGGCCUGAGCAGACCGCAAGCCGCCCGCUGGGAGCCCAGCCAAAAGCGGUGUUUUUCCAGGUCCGCGCAGGGCCACGGGAACCCGCGUGUUUGUUUGGUGGGAAUGGAUUCCUGGAAAACUAGACGGAAGGAUCUCCCAGCUGCUGGCUCCGUUCUGUUGAUGGAUAUCAUCCAGUGUCACCACAGGGGCUUCCAGUGCCUGGAAUUUUGGUGGGAGGAGAGCAACUUCAGGAAUGAAGGGGCCUGUGGGGAGCGGGGGCGAAAACAAGACCAUUCGUAAAGACUGACGCUGCCGCGUUGGAUUUAAACUCGAGACGGGACCACGGAACCCAAUGCACAGGUCCACACGGCCGGGGCCUGGAGGUGUGAGCGCACAUGCACCAUGCUGGUGGGCCCUGCACAGACCUGCGUGAUGACACACCCAGACACACGCGUGUACCGAACCUCCUCCAGAUACACCCCGUCCAGAGUAGAGACCCCGUGUUCUGGGUUGACUGUGUCCCCUGGGACUUGCAAAGGUAACUUUUUUGCAGAGUCUUGCAGACAGGUUAAGAUGAGGUCAGACUGGAGCAGAGUGGACCCUGACCCAGUGUGAUCGGUGUCCUGAUAUGAAGAGGAAGAUUUAAACACAGAGAGACAGAGGGAAGACGGCCGUGUCCUAAUGGGGGCAGAGUUUGGAAGGAGGUUGCCACAAGCCAGGGAGCACUGGGGCCCCCCACAUGCUGGAAGAAGGGAAGGAUCCUCUCCUGGAGACUCGGGAGCAUGGGUGCCCCGCAGCACCUUGAUUUUGGACUUCUGGUCUCCAUACAGUGAGAGAAUAAA